rnacentral:rRNA from 1 species
GGGUUGUGAGGUUAAGCGACUAAGCGUACACGGUGGAUGCCCUGGCAGUCAGAGGCGAUGAAGGACGUGCUAAUCUGCGAUAAGCGUCGGUAAGGUGAUAUGAACCGUUAUAACCGGCGAUUUCCGAAUGGGGAAACCCAGUGUGAUUCGUCACACUAUCAUUAACUGAAUCCAUAGGUUAAUGAGGCGAACCGGGGGAACUGAAACAUCUAAGUACCCCGAGGAAAAGAAAUCAACCGAGAUUCCCCCAGUAGCGGCGAGCGAACGGGGAGCAGCCCAGAGCCUGAAUCAGUGUGUGUGUUAGUGGAAGCGUCUGGAAAGGCGCGCGAUACAGGGUGACAGCCCCGUACACAAAAAUGCACAUACUGUGAGCUCGAUGAGUAGGGCGGGACACGUGGUAUCCUGUCUGAAUAUGGGGGGACCAUCCUCCAAGGCUAAAUACUCCUGACUGACCGAUAGUGAACCAGUACCGUGAGGGAAAGGCGAAAAGAACCCCGGCGAGGGGAGUGAAAAAGAACCUGAAACCGUGUACGUACAAGCAGUGGGAGCACAGAGCAAUCUGUGUGACUGCGUACCUUUUGUAUAAUGGGUCAGCGACUUAUAUUCUGUAGCAAGGUUAACCGAAUAGGGGAGCCGAAGGGAAACCGAGUCUUAACUGGGCGUUAAGUUGCAGGGUAUAGACCCGAAACCCGGUGAUCUAGCCAUGGGCAGGUUGAAGGUUGGGUAACACUAACUGGAGGACCGAACCGACUAAUGUUGAAAAAUUAGCGGAUGACUUGUGGCUGGGGGUGAAAGGCCAAUCAAACCGGGAGAUAGCUGGUUCUCCCCGAAAGCUAUUUAGGUAGCGCCUCGUGAAUUCAUCUCCGGGGGUAGAGCACUGUUUCGGCAAGGGGGUCAUCCCGACUUACCAACCCGAUGCAAACUGCGAAUACCGGAGAAUGUUAUCACGGGAGACACACGGCGGGUGCUAACGUCCGUCGUGAAGAGGGAAACAACCCAGACCGCCAGCUAAGGUCCCAAAGUCAUGGUUAAGUGGGAAACGAUGUGGGAAGGCCCAGACAGCCAGGAUGUUGGCUUAGAAGCAGCCAUCAUUUAAAGAAAGCGUAAUAGCUCACUGGUCGAGUCGGCCUGCGCGGAAGAUGUAACGGGGCUAAACCAUGCACCGAAGCUGCGGCAGCGACGCUGAUGCGUUGUUGGGUAGGGGAGCGUUCUGUAAGCCUGUGAAGGUGUGCUGUGAGGUAUGCUGGAGGUAUCAGAAGUGCGAAUGCUGACAUAAGUAACGAUAAAGCGGGUGAAAAGCCCGCUCGCCGGAAGACCAAGGGUUCCUGUCCAACGUUAAUCGGGGCAGGGUGAGUCGACCCCUAAGGCGAGGCCGAAAGGCGUAGUCGAUGGGAAACAGGUUAAUAUUCCUGUACUUGGUGUUACUGCGAAGGGGGGACGGAGAAGGCUAUGUUGGCCGGGCGACGGUUGUCCCGGUUUAAGCGUGUAGGCUGGUUUUCCAGGCAAAUCCGGAAAAUCAAGGCUGAGGCGUGAUGACGAGGCACUACGGUGCUGAAGCAACAAAUGCCCUGCUUCCAGGAAAAGCCUCUAAGCAUCAGGUAACAUCAAAUCGUACCCCAAACCGACACAGGUGGUCAGGUAGAGAAUACCAAGGCGCUUGAGAGAACUCGGGUGAAGGAACUAGGCAAAAUGGUGCCGUAACUUCGGGAGAAGGCACGCUGAUAUGUAGGUGAAGUCCCUCGCGGAUGGAGCUGAAAUCAGUCGAAGAUACCAGCUGGCUGCAACUGUUUAUUAAAAACACAGCACUGUGCAAACACGAAAGUGGACGUAUACGGUGUGACGCCUGCCCGGUGCCGGAAGGUUAAUUGAUGGGGUUAGCGCAAGCGAAGCUCUUGAUCGAAGCCCCGGUAAACGGCGGCCGUAACUAUAACGGUCCUAAGGUAGCGAAAUUCCUUGUCGGGUAAGUUCCGACCUGCACGAAUGGCGUAAUGAUGGCCAGGCUGUCUCCACCCGAGACUCAGUGAAAUUGAACUCGCUGUGAAGAUGCAGUGUACCCGCGGCAAGACGGAAAGACCCCGUGAACCUUUACUAUAGCUUGACACUGAACAUUGAGCCUUGAUGUGUAGGAUAGGUGGGAGGCUUUGAAGUGUGGACGCCAGUCUGCAUGGAGCCGACCUUGAAAUACCACCCUUUAAUGUUUGAUGUUCUAACGUUGACCCGUAAUCCGGGUUGCGGACAGUGUCUGGUGGGUAGUUUGACUGGGGCGGUCUCCUCCUAAAGAGUAACGGAGGAGCACGAAGGUUGGCUAAUCCUGGUCGGACAUCAGGAGGUUAGUGCAAUGGCAUAAGCCAGCUUGACUGCGAGCGUGACGGCGCGAGCAGGUGCGAAAGCAGGUCAUAGUGAUCCGGUGGUUCUGAAUGGAAGGGCCAUCGCUCAACGGAUAAAAGGUACUCCGGGGAUAACAGGCUGAUACCGCCCAAGAGUUCAUAUCGACGGCGGUGUUUGGCACCUCGAUGUCGGCUCAUCACAUCCUGGGGCUGAAGUAGGUCCCAAGGGUAUGGCUGUUCGCCAUUUAAAGUGGUACGCGAGCUGGGUUUAGAACGUCGUGAGACAGUUCGGUCCCUAUCUGCCGUGGGCGCUGGAGAACUGAGGGGGGCUGCUCCUAGUACGAGAGGACCGGAGUGGACGCAUCACUGGUGUUCGGGUUGUCAUGCCAAUGGCACUGCCCGGUAGCUAAAUGCGGAAGAGAUAAGUGCUGAAAGCAUCUAAGCACGAAACUUGCCCCGAGAUGAGUUCUCCCUGACUCCUUGAGAGUCCUGAAGGAACGUUGAAGACGACGACGUUGAUAGGCCGGAUGUGUAAGCGCAGCGAUGCGUUGAGCUAACCGGUACUAAUGAACCGUGAGGCUUAACCUUACAACGCCGAAGGUGUUU